GUGUCAGCUGUGGAGAGCCUACAAACCUAGGAGAAUUCAAGGGCCUUCUAGAAACUCUUUCUGAGUUUAAUUUUAUAUUUAGAUGCUGUUUCUGCUCACAAGAGAAGGAAGUCCAGGUUCAUGAGGCUUCAAGACUUGGGAAAGGACCUAGAAAAUACCAAGGUUGAUCUGCUUUGUCCAUGCACAGACUGUUUGGAAAUUGAUUCCAGCUACAAGGCUUGGAUUUGGAUCUGGAUCAAAACAGUCUUUAAUUCAAAGUCUUUCAAAGAUGGAGGAACCUAUCCCUGGCACUGGUGAGAAUGCAAGGGUUGAUGUGUGCAGGUUCCUACAUCCAGGGAACAAGGCUGGCCAAAGUAGUCACCGUCCUUGACAGCGGAAGGAAAACUGAGGGCAACACAACAUCCAUGUGCAGGUUUGCAGCUGUACAGAAGGUCUCCAGGCCCAGCACUGGAGGAUGGGGCACUGCCAGCUGCUGCAUGAGGGCUGGAGCCAGCAGUGGGGCCAGCAGUGAGAAAUGGGCUGCCUGUACCAGGCUGAAGGUACAGCGUCAAGAGGCAUUUCUUGAUAUAUUGUUUCUUGUUAACAACCAUUGAUUGAUUUAGCCAUUUACAGGAUUUCUUUUACUCAUUUUACUUGUACAGGAACAAGGACAAAAUGCAGAAGGAGGGAUGCCUAGUGUGUCUCGGGAUUUGGUACCUGCCUACUUUUCUCAGGAGUCUGCAAACCUCAGUUAGGCCUGAUCAUUUCAAAUUCAGGGUUACAUUUUUCUCAUCUGUUCCUGGCAAUGUAAUUGCCUGAUCUUUCCUUAGGUCAUUGCACCAUUCAGACAACUCACCAGGCCUCAUCUUGCAAUACCUUAGGUUAGGGAUAGUUGAGUCUUAAUUUGUCUUUUCUAUGGUAUUCUGCAAGUGUGCGCAUGCUGUGUGUGUGAUGGGCUGCAGGCCAUGGACUGGCCACGUCUGAUUUGGCUAUGAAAGAUAAGAAAACCUUCCAAAGAACUUGGGAUGGAGGAGCAUGAAAGUGAACCUUGUGACUAAUAUGCAAACCCCUCUGUUUGCUGAGUUUUAAGUAAUGGGGGGAAGAAAGUUCUGAUUGUUGUUUUUAAAUGUAGAUCCUGGAAUCCAUGUAGCAAAAAUAGGGCAGUUGCUUUAUCAGUAGCUGAUGAAAAUAUGAGAAGAGUAAUUAUUGUAUAGUCCCAUUAAUAAAAUUGUACUGCAGCUCA
rnacentral:lncRNA from 1 species